UGGGCGUAAGCGCGCGCAGGCGGUGAUGUAAGUCUGAGGUGAAAACCCGAAGCUCAACUUCGGGACUGCCUUGGAUACUGCGUCACUUGAGGAUAGGAGAGGCAAGGGGAAUUCCACGUGUAGCGGUGAAAUGCGUAGAGAUGUGGAGGAACACCUGUGGCGAAGGCGCCUUGCUGGCCUAUUUCUGACGCUGAGGCGCGAAAGCGUGGGGAGCAAACAGGAUUAGAUACCCUGGUAGUCCACGCUGUAAACGAUGAGUGCUAGGUGUAGGUGGGCUCAUACCCAUCUGUGCCGAAGCUAACGCAUUAAGCACUCCGCCUGGGGAGUACGGUCGCAAGACUGAAACUCAAAGGAAUUGACGGGGGCCCGCACAAGCAGUGGAGCAUGUGGUUUAAUUCGAAGCAACGCGAAGAACCUUACCAGGACUUGACAUCCCAUAGACCAGUCUAGAGAUAGACUUUCCCUUCGGGGCUGUGGUGACAGGUGGUGCAUGGUUGUCGUCAGCUCGUGUCGUGAGAUGUUGGGUUAAGUCCCGCAACGAGCGCAACCCUUACUUUGUGUUGCCAGCAUUCAGUUGGGCACUCACAAGGGACUGCCGCCGAUAAGGCGGAGGAAGGUGGGGAUGACGUCAAAUCAUCAUGCCCCUUAUGUCCUGGGCUACACACGUGCUACAAUGGGCGGUACAACGGGAUGCGAAGCCGCGAGGUGGAGCCAAACCCUGAAAACCGUUCGUAGUUCGGAUUGUAGGCUGCAACUCGCCUACAUGAAGCCGGAAUUGCUAGUAAUCGCGGAUCAGCAUGCCGCGGUGAAUCCGUUCCCGGGCCUUGUACACACCGCCCGUCACACCACGAGAAUGGGCAACACCCGAA
rnacentral:rRNA from 1 species